rnacentral:rRNA from 1 species
UACGUAGGGUGCAAGCGUUAAUCGGAAUUACUGGGCGUAAAGCGUGCGCAGGCGGUUAUGUAAGACAGUUGUGAAAUCCCCGGGCUUAACCUGGGAACUGCAUCUGUGACUGCAUCGCUGGAGUGCGGCAGAGGGGGAUGGAAUUCCGCGUGUAGCAGUGAAAUGCGUAGAUAUGCGGAGGAACACCGAUGGCGAAGGCAAUCCCCUGGGCCUGCACUGACGCUCAUGCACGAAAGCGUGGGGAGCAAACAGG